rnacentral:rRNA from 1 species
GAUGAACGCUGGCGGCGUGCCUAAUACAUGCAAGUCGAGCGAACGGACGAGAAGCUUGCUUCUCUGAUGUUAGCGGGGGACGGGUGAGUAACACGUGGAUAACCUACCUAUAAGACUGGGAUAACUUCGGGAAACCGUAGCUAAUACCGGAUAAUAUUUUGAACCGCAUGGUUCAAAAGUGAAAGACGGUCUUGCUGUCACUUAUAGAUGGAUCCGCGCUGCAUUAGCUAGUUGGUAAGGUAACGGCUUACCAAGGCAACGAUGCAUAGCCGACCUGAGAGGGUGAUCGGCCACACUGGAACUGAGACACGGUCCAGACUCCUACGGGAGGCAGCAGUAGGGAAUCUUCCGCAAUGGGCGAAAGCCUGACGGAGCAACGCCGCGUGAGUGAUGAAGGUCUUCGGAUCGUAAAACUCUGUUAUUAGGGAAGAACAUAUGUGUAAGUAACUGUGCACAUCUUGACGGUACCUAAUCAGAAAGCCACGGCUAACUACGUG